rnacentral:rRNA from 1 species
UACAGAGGUCUCAAGCGUUGUUCGGAUUCAUUGGGCGUAAAGGGCGCGUAGGCGGCUCGGCACGUCCGUUGUGAAAUCGCCCGGCUCAACUGGGCGGGGUCGGCGGAUACGGCCGAGCUGGAGCAAGCUAGGGGGUAAUGGAAUUCCCGGUGUAGUGGUGGAAUGCGUAGAUAUCGGGGGGAACACCAGUGGCGAAGGCGGUUACCUGGAGCUUUGCUGACGCUGAUGCGCGAAAGCGUGGGGAGCGAUCCGG